UACGAAGGGGGCUAGCGUUGCUCGGAAUCACUGGGCGUAAAGGGUGCGUAGGCGGGUCUUUAAGUCAGGGGUGAAAUCCUGGAGCUCAACUCCAGAACUGCCUUUGAUACUGAGGAUCUUGAGUUCGGGAGAGGUGGAGUGGAAUUCCGAGUGUAGAGGUGAAAUUCGUAGAUAUUCGGAAGAACACCAGUGGCGAAGGCGGCUCACUGGACCGUAUUGACGCUGAGGUGCGAAAGCGUGGGGAGCAACAGGAUAG
rnacentral:rRNA from 1 species